CGCUCCAGCUCGUCCCAACCUCCCAUGGGACAGGAGAAAUGGCUGUAGCGGAGCCAGCUCAGGGGCCGGUGACCUUCGAGGAGGUGGCUGUGCAUUUCACCAGGGAAGAGGGGGCUCUGCUGGAACCCACUCAGAGAACCCUCUGCAGAGCCGUCAUGCAGGAGAACUGUGAGAAUGUGACCUCGCUGGGGUUUCCAGUUUCCCAACCCUCUGUGAUCUUCCAGCUGGAAGGAGGGGAAGAGCCGUG